rnacentral:lncRNA from 1 species
GGUGAUAGAGGAAGAGGAGGACGAAGAUGAUUUUCAUUUGAUUGUUGAUGAUGACGACUUGGAGGUACUGGAGUCGUUCAAGCUCGAGAAUGCUAGACCCUCUCGUCGUAGACGUCGUUUCGAUGGUCCCCAAAGCAGAUACGACAAAGGGAUCAUGCGGUCGGGGAUGCGAGGAUCCAUGAUGACUACUUUGGUCCCAAUCCUAUUUACUUGGCGUUCCAGUUCCGUCGACGGUGUGUUUCUAUAAUCUGAUAGUCAUGGAUUGCUUCAUGUGCUACUUUGCAGUACAUUGACAUAUCUUAUCUUUGUAUGCAGGUUUUGAAUGCGCGUCC